UGAGUAAGCUAGAUGAUCGCGAAGGAGGUACUCCUUUGAGGAAAGUCCGAGCUCCGUAGAGCGGGAUGCUGGGUAACGCCCAGUGGGGGCAACCCCAAGGCUAGUGCUACAGAAAAUAACCGCCUCGCUAGAGGUAAGGUUGAAAAGGUGAGGUAAGAGCUCACCAGCAGUUAGGCGACUAACUGGCUAGGUAAACCCCAUCCGGAGCAAGGUCAAAUAGGGAAGUAGAGGUUGCUCGCCUUGUCAGCUUCCGGGUUGACUGCAGGAAGUCUUAGGUAACUGGGACUCUAGACAGAUGAUCAUCCUCGACAGAACUCGGCUUACCGGUUUACUCAGGAC
rnacentral:RNase_P_RNA from 1 species